rnacentral:rRNA from 1 species
ACGCACGCUGGCGGCGCGCUUAACACAUGCCAGUCGAACGGAAAGGCCUGCUUUCCCUUGUGGAUUGCGGGUACUCGAGUGGCGAACGGGUGAGUAACACGUGAGUGAUCUGCCCCCAACUUGGGUAUAAGCCUGGGAAACUGGGUCUAAUUCCCGAUAGGACUGCAGGGUGGUGCCUGUGGUGGAAAACGAUUUUCUAGUGGUUGGGGAUGAGCUCGCGGCCUAUCAGCUUGUUGGUGGGGUAAUGGCCUACCAAGGCGGCGACGGGUAGCCGGCCUGAGAGGGUGGACGGCCACAUUGGGACUGAGAUACGGCCCAGACUCCUACGGGAGGCAGCAGUGGGGAAUAUUGCACAAUGGGCGGAAGCCUGAUGCAGCGACGCCGCGUGGGGGAUGACGGCCUUCGGGUUGUAAACUCCUUUCGACCGCGAGGAAGCCACCUGGUUGGAAGGGUGGUGACGGUAGUGGUAGAAGAAGCACCGGCUAACUACGUG